rnacentral:rRNA from 1 species
AGAGAGAAGACAUGCGCGCAUAUCAAUAAGCGGAGGAAAAGAAACUAACAAGGAUUCCCUUAGUAACGGCGAGUGAAGCGGGAAGAGCUCAAAUUUGAAAUCUUCAAGGUUUUACCUUGACGAAUUGUAGUUUAAAGAAGUGUUUUCUGCUGAAGUUUUGGUAAAAGUUCUUUGGAAUAGGACAUCAUAGAGGGUGAGAAUCCCGUAUUUGACCAUUAUUUUCAGCUUUGUGAUACACUUUCAAAGAGUCGGAUUGUUUGGGAAUGCAGUCCAAAAUGGGUGGUAAAUUUCAUCUAAAGCUAAAUAUUGGCGAGAGACCGAUAGCGAACAAGUACCGUGAGGGAAAGAUGAAAAGAACCUUGAAAAGAGAGUCAAACAGUACGUGAAAUUGUCAAAAGGGAAGCGUUUGACACCAGUGUUGUUUUCCUCGAAAAUCAAUUAAAAAUGGCUCGAUUUUGUAUUGUCUGAGACCUUAAAAGCUCACUGUACAUUUUUCGUGUCUUUUUUAAUGCACUUUUCGUUUAACAAGUCAACAUCAGUUUCUUUUGUUGUAAAAGGGUCAUUGGAAGGUGGCUUUCUUUUCGGAGAAAGUGUUUAUAGCCUUUGGCCUCUGCAAUCGGAGAGAUUGAGGUCUGCAGCGUAGAUCCUUCGGGGUUAGAUACAUUUGUGCUAAGUUAUAGCCUUUUCAUAGACAACUUGUUGACUAUGAAUCAGUCAUGUAGCUUACUCGCUUAUGCUAUUUUACCUACGCUUAGGAUGUUGAGUCGUAGAGCACGCAG